UACGGAGGGUGCGAGCGUUGUUCGGAAUCACUGGGCGUAAAGGGCGUGUAGGCGGUCCGCUAAGUCUGAUGUGAAAGCCCGGGGCUCACCCCCGGAAGUGCAUUGGAAACUGGCGAACUCGAGUCCCGGAGAGGAGAGUGGAAUUCCUGGUGUAGCGGUGAAAUGCGCAGAUAUCAGGAAGAACACCCGUGGCGAAGGCGGCUCUCUGGGACGGUACUGACGCUGAGACGCGAAAGCGUGGGGAGCGAACAGG
rnacentral:rRNA from 1 species